rnacentral:rRNA from 1 species
UACGUAGGGUGCAAGCGUUGUCCGGAAUUAUUGGGCGUAAAGAGCUCGUAGGCGGUCUGUUGCGUCGGCUGUGAAAACCCGAGGCUCAACCUCGGGCCUGCAGCCGAUACGGGCAGACUAGAGUUCGGCAGGGGAGACUGGAAUUCCUGGUGUAGCGGUGAAAUGCGCAGAUAUCAGGAGGAACACCGAUGGCGAAGGCAGGUCUCUGGGCAUUAACUGACGCUGGAGGAAGCGGAAAGCAUGGGGAGCGAACAGG